CGCAUGGUUAUUUCACUGUGUAACAAUAAACGUUCAUAGAACAUGGCACGCUCUGUUCUCUCCUGCUUGACUGCCCACCGCUAAUUGAGCCCCGGGAAACGUAUGUGUCUUCAUGGAGGGUGCAGGGUUUGUGUGGCCAUGGCGGCGGGGGACACUACCAUGCCAAUGGAGGGUAAACACUCCAACACUACCCCCUCCGUACCACACUAGAGGCCCUAAAUACCUGUCCGUCUGAGGAAGGGGAGGUGGUGAGGCUGAUGCCUCCGGGGAAGACAAAUGCUCCCUAUCCAUAUGGCUUACAGAAGGAAAUGCAAUAACAGUGCUUCAGCAAUAUAGACCUGAAACCCUCCAAGUCAGCGACUUCUGACUGGGUCUGAUGAGGCCUUCAAUAUCAGUUCACCUCUCCCUCGGUCUCCCUCCGAGAGCCUGCACCUGUGUGGCUCUGCCUGUGUCAUAACACCCUGGGCUGAUGCAACGACACAGAAACACUAUCUGGCCGCUCGAUGUUGGACCAACAACACAUGGAAGGACAAGAGAGCUGAGGGGGUGAAAAAGGGCAACUAAUACGAUAAGAAAAGUUUGGUCUCCGACGUAUUGGUGGUAUCCAAAUGAAAUACAAAGAGCUUUUGUUUCAUUCUAAAACUUCUGAUGUUUAUGGACUUUUAUCUUGGAAAUGUCAAGAUUUUUAAAUGUCAGGUACAGUGUGUUGCUGUAGCAAAGGCAUGAAGACAGAACGCCACCAGAUCACCGAUGCUGUAUAACCGUGACAUUUGCUGACACGCUGGGAAAGGGUGAAACCUCCUCAAAAUCUGUAGCGAAACAGAAUUACUUGAUCUUCCACCUAGGACUUGAAAUAUAUAUGGUGGGGUGAAGUGGAUGCAGUAUGUUCCUUUAAAUUAAGGUCAGUUGAACUUUGACCUUAUAUCCUGCAGCCAAAACAGUAAUAGUUUUUCCACCUCUUCUCUGGGCAAACAUACAGUAGCUGACCUCUCCUAUUCCUGUCAAGUAGAAGGUGGCUGGCCAUACUGUACUUUCUGUACUUCAGAGUUAAACUCUUUCAACUGUGCUCCCCUACAUCCAAUUACUUUUGACAUUUUAAUGUCACCUUAACCAAGGGAAAUAGCCCUAUUCAUUUUUUCUGAAGAGAAAAACCCCUCUCCUUUCCUGAAAUGUAUUUCCCUUAGCGCCACCUGCAAUUUGGCCUCACCAUUCACACUAAUUGGUUAUCUAUCUUUACAUUCUAUGGGUCCCAGGCCAUUAAUGUCACACUCUGGCUCCGGGACUUGUAUUUUGAGUCAGGGUGUGUUCGUUUUGUUGGGUUUUGGGUAG